rnacentral:rRNA from 1 species
UUUGCCUACGGGGCGCAGCAGUCGGGAAUAUUGCGCAAUGGAGGAAACUCUGACGCAGUGACGCCGCGUAUAGGAAGAAGGUUUUCGGAUUGUAAACUAUUGUCAUUAGGGAAGAAAAAAGACAGUACCUAAAGAGGAAGCUCCGGCUAACUACGUGCCAGCAGCCGCGGUAAUACGUAGGGAGCAAGCGUUAUCCGGAAUUAUUGGGUGUAAAGGGUGCGUAGACGGGAAAAUAAGUUAGUUGUGAAAUCCCUCGGCUCAACUGAGGAACUGCAACUAAAACUGUAAUUCUUGAGUGCAGGAGG